AGAGUUUGAUCCUGGCUCAGGAUGAACGCUGGCGGUAUGCUUAACACAUGCAAGUCGAACGGUCUCUUCGGAGAUAGUGGCGGACGGGUGAGUAACGCGUGAGAAUCUGGCUCUAGGUCUGGGACAACAGAUGGAAACGUCUGCUAAUACCGGAUGUGCCGAGAGGUGAAAGGCUUGCUGCCUAGAGAUGAGCUCGCGUCAGAUUAGCUAGUAGGUGGGGUAAAGGCCUACCUAGGCGACGAUCUGUAGCUGGUCUGAGAGGACGAUCAGCCACACUGGGACUGAGACACGGCCCAGACUCCUACGGGAGGCAGCAGUGGGGAAUUUUCCGCAAUGGGCGAAAGCCUGACGGAGCAAUACCGCGUGAGGGAGGAAGGCUCUUGGGUUGUAAACCUCUUUUCUCAAGGAAUAAGAAUGAAGGUACUUGAGGAAUAAGCAUCGGCUAACUCCGUGCCAGCAGCCGCGGUAAUACGGAGGAUGCAAGCGUUAUCCGGAAUGAUUGGGCGUAAAGCGUCCGUAGGUGGUUUUGUGUGUCUGCUGUCAAAGCGUGCGGCUUAACCGCAUAAGGGCGGUGGAAACUACAAGACUAGAGUGCGUUCGGGGCAG
rnacentral:rRNA from 1 species